UACACAAACUUGUUGAAGUGUUAUUAGAGACAGUCCACUCUGUUAUGUAUUUUUUUUUUUGUGUGUGUGUGUUGUGUGUUUGUUGUACAAUUGUGUAUUUUAUUUAUGUGGUUGUGAUUUGCUGUAUGCUCGUAGUGGUAAUAUCUCAGUUAUCGCAUUUAUAUGGCUUUUUUUAACAAUGUUAGGGUGGUGACUUCAGGGAAGUGGAAGGAACAGGAGAGGAAGACAUCUGGCAAUGGUCAUGACAGUUGUCCGUCAGGAAUCUACAGGUGGCGAGCAUGCGUAAGGAAUUGACAUAUCUCAGUACAACUUAGACCUGCCUGUUGCACAUGAGAUGUGUGACUCUACUUACACACACAAGCUUCUGCAGUCUCAGGAACAUCAACUGCCAUGUUCAAAAGAAGUGGAAUAUGCCUCUGCAAUCUGAAACCCA